UACGGAGGAUCCGAGCGUUAUCCGGAUUUAUUGGGUUUAAAGGGUGCGCAGGCGGGAGAUUAAGUCGGCGGUGAAAUUUUGCAGCUCAACUGUAAAAGUGCCUUCGAAACUGGUUUCCUUGAGUGUAGAUGAAGUAGGCGGAAUUUGUGGUGUAGCGGUGAAAUGCAUAGAUAUCACGAGGAACUCCGAUUGCGCAGGCAGCUUACUAAACUACUACUGACGCUCAGGCACGAAAGCGUGGGUAGCAAACAGGAUUAGAUACCCCCGUAGU
rnacentral:rRNA from 1 species